rnacentral:rRNA from 1 species
AAUAGAUACCCAGGUAGUCCACGCCGUAAACGAUGGGUACUAGGUGUAGGAGGUAUCGACCCCUUCUGUGCCGCAGCAAACGCAUUAAGUACCCCGCCUGGGGAGUACGGUCGCAAGACUGAAACUCAAAGGAAUUGACGGGGGCCCGCACAAGCGGUGGAGCAUGUGGUUUAAUUCGACGCAACGCGAAGAACCUUACCAGGUCUUGACAUCCCUUGACCGCUCUAGAGAUAGAGUUUUCCCUUCGGGGACAAGGAGACAGGUGGUGCAUGGUUGUCGUCAGCUCGUGUCGUGAGAUGUUGGGUUAAGUCCCGCAACGAGCGCAACCCUUACUUUUAGUUGCCAGCACUUCGGGUGGGCACUCUAAAGGGACUGCCGGUGACAAACCGGAGGAAGGUGGGGAUGACGUCAAAUCAUCAUGCCCCUUAUGACCUGGGCUACACACGUGCUACAAUGGCCUGUACAGAGGGCAGCGAAGUCGCGAGACGGAGCAAAUCCCAAAAGCAGGUCUCAGUUCGGAUUGCAGGCUGCAACUCG